CCUGCAGGGCCCGGACUCUUCGUGUGAUGUGGGUUUAUUGGCUUGGCCUUAGGCAGGUGGCGGCAGCUCCUCCUCGGGGUUUUCAAAGACAGAGAAAGUGACGCCGAGCGGCUCAGGGCCACCAGGAGAAUGCAGAAAGAGACGUGAGGUUUCCUUCCCAGACUGGGAGUGAAUUCCCAGCACGGCUCUGUGGAGGGGUGCGCCAAGCCUGAGGGAGACCCUGCGGCCUCGCGCUGCCCGAGGUCCCGUCCCGGUGCAGCGCCCCUGUCCUCGGCGGCUCUCGGUUUCGCUGCUUAAGCUGAGAUUUCGGAAUGGGCGUCCAAACGUGGAAAGCGCUCAUUAACUACUCAGCUGUCUCCUGCCUCCUUAUCUACUCAUACUCACGCAGUCUUUUCGCCGUAAUGCAAAUUUCCCAAAAUGUUUUUGACAGUAUUUUUAAUUUAUAGCUCUUCGGGAAGAAAUACAUGAUUUAAAAUGCAGCUUUUUUUUUUUUUUUUUCCAUCCUGGCCAAAAAACUUGGCGAGUAACUUCACAGAUUCAUGGCAGGUCAAAAUUUGUGACUGACUGGGAAACCAGUCCUGGAUUUUUGCUUAUUAAUUUCCUUUUGAGUUAUUUAAGGGGUAAGUAUCCUUUGGAUGGUGUUGAUGACUAUUCAGUCUGUGAUUAUUGCAUGUAUUACCCAAUCAUUUUUUGUGUAACUGAAGUUUCAUGUUUGCUGAAUUAGAGUUUAUUGAGAAAGAGGAUCUUAAGGAACGGUUUCACCAUCACUUCUACUCAGAUUUAUUUAUUUAUUUUAAAGAUUUAUUUUAUUUAUUUGAAAGAGUUACAGAGAGGUAGAGCCAGAGCCAGAGAGAGAGAGAGAGAGAGGUCUUCCAUCCGCUGGUUUAUUCCCCAAAUGAGCCGAUCCAAAGCCAAGAGCCAGGAGCCUCCUCUAGGUCUCCCAUAUGGGUGCAGGAACCCAAGGACUGGGACCAUAUUCUGCUGCUUUCCCAGGCCAUAGAAGCGAGUGGGAUCAGAAGUGGAGCAACCGGGACUUGAAUUAGCGUCCAUAUGGGAUGCUGGCACUGCAGGCUCGGGCUUUAACCUACUGUACCACAGUGCCAGCCUCUCAUAUUUAUUUUUAAAAAGUUUAUGAGGUUAUUGCCAUACUAUUGAAAAAUCCAAGUGAAGAUUUUUAUAUUUCAGAUGCAGUUCUCUGAUACAGUUCUAAUUUUCAGCAAACCCACCCUGAUUCCAAAGCUCUAAUCAAAUAAGUAAAAUUGUAUAAUAAG
rnacentral:lncRNA from 1 species